rnacentral:rRNA from 1 species
GGACAACCUGCCCUAUGGUGAGGGAUAACUCCGGGAAACUGGAGAUAAUACCUCAUAGUUUACCGUGGCUGGAAUGCCUGGUAAGCCCAAAGGUCCGCCGCCAUAGGAUGGGUCUGCGGCCGAUUAGGUUGUUGUUGGGGUAACGGCCCAACAAGCCUGUGAUCGGUACGGGUUGUGGGAGCAAGAGCCCGGAGAUGGAUUCUGAGACACGAAUCCAGGCCCUACGGGGCGCAGCAGGCGCGAAAACUUUACAAUGCAGGCAACUGUGAUAAGGGAACCCCGAGUGCCCGUAUGGACGGGCUGUUCAGGUGCUUAAAAACCACCUGGAGAAAGGGCCGGGCAAGACCGGUGCCAGCCGCCGCGGUAAUACCGGCGGCUCGAGUGGUGGCCACUAUUACUGGGCUUAAAGCGUCCGUAGCUUGGUCGUUAAGCCUCUGGGGAAAUCUUCCGGCUCAACCGGAAGGCGUCUCAGGGGGACUGGCGACCUAGGGAUCGGGAGAGGUGAGAGGUACUCUGGGGGUAGGAGUGAAAUCCUGUAAUCCUCAGGGGACCACCUGUGGCGAAGGCGUCUCACCAGAACGACUCCGACAGUGAGGGACGAAAGCUGGGGGAGCAAACCGGAUUAGAUACCCGGGUAGUCCCAGCCGUAAACGAUGCGCGUUAGGUGUAUCGGUGACCACGAGUUACCGAGGUGCCGAAGGGAAACCGUGAAACGCGCCGCCUGGGAAGUACGGUCGCAAGGCUGAAACUUAA